rnacentral:lncRNA from 1 species
AAACUCCAAAUUCUUGUGAUCUGUGUAUACAAUGUUGUAUUACGUACUAUCUUGCUUGAGAACACGCCGGAUGUUUGGCUGGAGGAGGUAGUAUGGUGUUUUGUUAGUACUCAAGCAGUCUAUUGGAUUCUUGACUAUCCAAAUAUAAUCUAUAUCGGAUUGCAAUGUAAAAGCUUAAUUCCAAUAUAAAAUACGUAGAGAUCCUGUAUAACUUCAAUUUCUUUUGUUAUUUUUAUUUUUUUUUAUUUAUUUUAUGUUUUAUAUUUUAUCUUUAUCGUUAAUUACUUUAAUCCUAGAUCGUGAACUUCGAUAAGCUGUGAUCCUCAAUUUGUCCUUCCGACUUGUUGUGAAACAUCUAUCGCUAGUGUCUCU